rnacentral:lncRNA from 1 species
AUGGUUUCGGUGUCGCUCCGGUCCGAUCCAGUUCCACGCCGGCAGCCAACGGACCGGUGUGAACAGGGGGAAAAUUCUAGUAUUCCGAUUCCCGGUAACACCGGUUUCGGUGAUACAAAUCGAUAAGAAAGUUUCGGUACCGAUUUUGAUUCUUUUCAAACCAAUCCGGCGGUACCCGUUCUGGUCCGUUGUCAGUCUUACGAUGAGAGAACAUAGUGACUAGUCAUUGUGAAAAUUGAGGG